ACGGGAGGCAGCAGUGAGGAAUAUUGGUCAAUGGUCGGAAGACUGAACCAGCCAAGUAGCGUGCAGGAUGACGGCCCUAUGGGUUGUAAACUGCUUUUGUGCGGGAAUAACGGUCAUUACGUGUAAUGAUGUGCAUGUACCGUACGAAUAAGGAUCGGCUAACUCCGUGCCAGCAGCCGCGGUAAUACGGAGGAUCCGAGCGUUAUCCGGAUUUAUUGGGUUUAAAGGGAGCGUAGGCGGAGGAUCAAGUCAGCUGUGAAAUGUAGACGCUCAACGUCUGCACUGCAGUUGAAACUGGUUUUCUUGAGUGCGUAAGGGGCAGGCGGAAUUCGUCGUGUAGCGGUGAAAUGCUUAGAUAUGACGAAGAACUCCGAUCGCGAAGGCAGCUUGCCGGGCCGCAACUGACGCUGAAGCUCGAAGGUGCGGGUAUCGAACAGGAUUAGAUACCCUGGUA
rnacentral:rRNA from 1 species